rnacentral:misc_RNA from 1 species
UCCGAGUUGACCCCGGCAGUCUCCUAUGAGUCCCCACCAUCACGUGCUGGCAACAUAGAACGAGGGUUGCGCUCGUUGCGGGACUUAACCCAACAUCUCACGACACGAGCUGACGACAACCAUGCACCACCUGUACGCGAGCCCGAAGGCACCACCAUCUCUGAUGGCUUCCCGCGCAUGUCAAGCCUUGGUAAGGUUCUUCGCGUUGCAUCGAAUUAAGCCACAUGCUCCGCCGCUUGUGCGGGCCCCCGUCAAUUCCUUUGAGUUUUAGCCUUGCGGCCGUACUCCCCAGGCGGGGCGCUUAAUGCGUUAGCUGCGGCACGGAACUCGUGGAAUGAGUCCCACACCUAGCGCCCAACGUUUACGGCGUGGACUAC